rnacentral:rRNA from 1 species
ACUUAAAUUGAAGAGUUUGAUCAUGGCUCAGAUUGAACGCUGGCGGCAGGCCUAACACAUGCAAGUCGAGCGGUAGCACAGAGAGCUUGCUCUCGGGUGACGAGCGGCGGACGGGUGAGUAAUGUCUGGGAAACUGCCUGAUGGAGGGGGAUAACUACUGGAAACGGUAGCUAAUACCGCAUAACGUCGCAAGACCAAAGUGGGGGACCUUCGGGCCUCAUGCCAUAAGAUGUGCCCAGAUGGGAUUAGCUAGUAGGUGGGGUAACGGCUCACCUAGGCGACGAUCCCUAGCUGGUCUGAGAGGAUGACCAGCCACACUGGAACUGAGACACGGUCCAGACUCCUACGGGAGGCAGCAGUGGGGAAUAUUGCACAAUGGGCGCAAGCCUGAUGCAGCCAUGCCGCGUGUGUGAAGAAGGCCUUCGGGUUGUAAAGCACUUUCAGCGGGGAGGAAGGCGGUGAGGUUAAUAACCUCAUCGAUUGACGUUACCCGCAGAAGAAGCACCGGCUAACUCCGUGCCAGCAGCCGCGGUAAUACGGAGGGUGCAAGCGUUAAUCGGAAUUACUGGGCGUAAAGCGCACGCAGGCGGUCUGUCAAGUCGGAUGUGAAAUCCCCGGGCUCAACCUGGGAACUGCAUUCGAAACUGGCAGGCUAGAGUCUUGUAGAGGGGGGUAGAAUUCCAGGUGUAGCGGUGAAAUGCGUAGAGAUCUGGAGGAAUACCGGUGGCGAAGGCGGCCCCCUGGACAAAGACUGACGCUCAGGUGCGAAAGCGUGGGGAGCAAACAGGAUUAGAUACCCUGGUAGUCCACGCCGUAAACGAUGUCGAUUUGGAGGUUGUGCCCUUGAGGCGUGGCUUCCGGAGCUAACGCGUUAAAUCGACCGCCUGGGGAGUACGGCCGCAAGGUUAAAACUCAAAUGAAUUGACGGGGGCCCGCACAAGCGGUGGAGCAUGUGGUUUAAUUCGAUGCAACGCGAAGAACCUUACCUGGUCUUGACAUCCACAGAACUUUCCAGAGAUGGAUUGGUGCCUUCGGGAACUGUGAGACAGGUGCUGCAUGGCUGUCGUCAGCUCGUGUUGUGAAAUGUUGGGUUAAGUCCCGCAACGAGCGCAACCCUUAUCCUUUGUUGCCAGCGGUCCGGCCGGGAACUCAAAGGAGACUGCCAGUGAUAAACUGGAGGAAGGUGGGGAUGACGUCAAGUCAUCAUGGCCCUUACGACCAGGGCUACACACGUGCUACAAUGGCAUAUACAAAGAGAAGCGACCUCGCGAGAGCAAGCGGACCUCAUAAAGUAUGUCGUAGUCCGGAUUGGAGUCUGCAACUCGACUCCAUGAAGUCGGAAUCGCUAGUAAUCGUAGAUCAGAAUGCUACGGUGAAUACGUUCCCGGGCCUUGUACACACCGCCCGUCACACCAUGGGAGUGGGUUGCAAAAGAAGUAGGUAGCUUAACCUUCGGGAGGGCGCUUACCACUUUGUGAUUCAUGACUGGGGUGAAGUCGUAACAAGGUAACCGUAGGGGAACCUGCGGUUGGAUCACCUCCUUACCUUAAAGAA